UAAUAAAGUUAAGCUCUCAAUUUGGGAUGUCUUCCCCUUAUACAAAACGUCUUCUUUACACUCAAAUGGGUAGAUUCUAGUCUUGAUAAUCUCAUGGAGAGACCAAGCUUUGGCAAUGCUUGGUCUCAUCCCUUCUAUUCAAUUCUGUUCUCCCAUUCUCUCUAAACGUUUCUAUAAGGGUAUUUGGGUUCUUGUUGGUAUGAGAGAGCUGUUGCUUCUCAUGCUUAUUCUUG
rnacentral:lncRNA from 1 species